CUUGAUCGAAUCAUCAAAGACACAAGGCCAAGUUUGGACUCCAGAGAUCCUCUUCAAUGUGUACUUGCGAUGAUCGGGGAGAGAGGUUUUGUGGAGAACAUAUUUCUGAACGAGGAGACUCGAGAAAGAAAAUGGCAAAGAUCAGGUUCUACAGGGAAAAAAAGUGAUCAGUGCUCGAUAGAUUCACAUACCCUGGUAAGACAGUCAGAGUUGUUUUAAAUUCACAAUCUUCCACCAUGAACUUGAAAUCUUUAACCUGUGAAUUA
rnacentral:lncRNA from 1 species